UUAUGGAGGACUAAAAGUGCCAAAAUUAAAUAAAUAAAUACAUCAUUAAAUAAUUAAUUAAAUAUGUCAUUAAUUAAUUAAAAUUGGAAUUAAAUAUUUCAUUAAUUAAUUAAAAUUGGAAUUAAAUAUGUCAUUAAUUAAUUAAAAUUGGAAUUAAAUACUUAAAUGUGUUAUUAAAUAAAUAUAUCAUUAAAUAAUUAAAUAUGUCAUUAAUUAAUUAAAAUUGGCAUUAAAUAUGUCAUUAAUUAAUUAAAAUUGGCAUUAAAUAUGUCAUUAAUUAAUUAAAAUUGGAAUUAAAUACAUAAAUGUGUUAUUAAAUAUGUCAUUAAUUUAUUAAAAUAACAAUUAUUUUAAGUAAAAAACAUAUUUCAUUAUUUCACUAUUUAAUUAAUUAUUUCAUGGUCCUUGCGUUGCAGUGGAUCAUGAAUUUAUUUUAUCUGUCAACCUCGCCCGUCAAAGUCGGUGGGCGGAUCCUAACACCUGAUUGGUUACCCUGCACAUCAAGUCAAGGCAAAUCGAUUCCAGAUAAUGGAUUGACGCAGAGCUUGUGAACACAUUCCGAUACACUGGGUGGCGCUAUUCACCUCUACGUUGGUUUGGAUACUCAAUAAAACAAAACUUUAUUAGCAACCGCUAAAGACUCGGUCCUCUUUCCCAAAUGUUGAUACAUGCGGUGCAAGACAAAUUUUCCUUUAGCAUUUCCUUUAGCAUCUACUCGGCGCGCCACGGCUCGUCUCGGUUUAGUUGUUUUUCCAUUACAUUGAGUACCACCUCAUCGUGGGUUGAGUCGUCAUAGCACGGUGGCCCGAAAGUCCCUUACCGUCAUUUUUGUGCGACACAAACGCAAUGCAACAAUGUACAUGGAGGCGAUAGUACACCUGCUGCUCGGUCUGUGGCUUUCUGUCAGAUUCAGAGUAAUAGAAGAGUCGGAGAAAGCUGAGAGCGGCGAGUCGAAACACUCAGGAGACACACAGGAGAGUUUGGGAGGCGAUACAGCAGUAUCAAGCUGAAGACAAGAGGAUAUGAACGAGACGACAUAUAAGGAUGCUCUCUGAUGAGACUUCAUGGGAUUUACCUGAAGCAGCAGCACAUGAGCCUGCAGUGGCACAAGGUGUAGAGGAGGAGGGCAGAGAUGUACAGGAUGCACUGAUGCACUACGUGUCAUGCAAAAGUUAAAAGUUGUUCUUCUUGUUAUACUUCUGUUUUUCUGUCCCCGGACCGCUAUUGUUUUCUUUAAUGCAAUUCUGACAAUAAACUUUUGUAGAUGUG